GGGUUGUGAGGUUAAGCGACUAAGCGUACACGGUGGAUGCCCUGGCAGUCAGAGGCGAUGAAGGACGUGCUAAUCUGCGAAAAGCGUCGGUAAGGUGAUAUGAACCGUUAUAGCCGGCGAUGUCCGAAUGGGGAAACCCAGUGCAAUUCGUUGCACUAUCGUUAACUGAAUACAUAGGUUAACGAGGCGAACCGGGGGAACUGAAACAUCUAAGUACCCCGAGGAAAAGAAAUCAACCGAGAUUCCCCCAGUAGCGGCGAGCGAACGGGGAGCAGCCCAGAGUCUGAAUCAGCUUGUGUGUUAGUGGAACGGUCUGGAAAGUCCGACGGUACAGGGUGAUAGUCCCGUACACCAAAAUGCACAGGUUGUGAACUCGAAGAGUAGGGCGGGACACGUGGUAUCCUGUCUGAAUAUGGGGGGACCAUCCUCCAAGGCUAAAUACUCCUGACUGACCGAUAGUGAACCAGUACCGUGAGGGAAAGGCGAAAAGAACCCCGGCGAGGGGAGUGAAAAAGAACCUGAAACCGUGUACGUACAAGCAGUGGGAGCACCUUCGUGGUGUGACUGCGUACCUUUUGUAUAAUGGGUCAGCGACUUAUAUUCUGUAGCAAGGUUAACCGUAUAGGGGAGCCGCAGGGAAACCGAGUCUUAACUGGGCGUUAAGUUGCAGGGUAUAGACCCGAAACCCGGUGAUCUAGCCAUGGGCAGGUUGAAGGUUGGGUAACACUAACUGGAGGACCGAACCGACUAAUGUUGAAAAAUUAGCGGAUGACUUGUGGCUGGGGGUGAAAGGCCAAUCAAACCGGGAGAUAGCUGGUUCUCCCCGAAAGCUAUUUAGGUAGCGCCUCGUGAACUCAUCUUCGGGGGUAGAGCACUGUUUCGGCUAGGGGGUCAUCCCGACUUACCAACCCGAUGCAAACUACGAAUACCGAAGAAUGUUAUCACGGGAGACACACGGCGGGUGCUAACGUCCGUCGUGAAGAGGGAAACAACCCAGACCGCCAGCUAAGGUCCCAAAGUCAUGGUUAAGUGGGAAACGAUGUGGGAAGGCACAGACAGCCAGGAUGUUGGCUUAGAAGCAGCCAUCAUUUAAAGAAAGCGUAAUAGCUCACUGGUCGAGUCGGCCUGCGCGGAAGAUGUAACGGGGCUAAACCAUGCACCGAAGCUGCGGCAGCGACACUAUGUGUUGUUGGGUAGGGGAGCGUUCUGUAAGCCUGCGAAGGUGACCUGUGAGGGUUGCUGGAGGUAUCAGAAGUGCGAAUGCUGACAUAAGUAACGAUAAAGCGGGUGAAAAGCCCGCUCGCCGGAAGACCAAGGGUUCCUGUCCAACGUUAAUCGGGGCAGGGUGAGUCGACCCCUAAGGCGAGGCCGAAAGGCGUAGUCGAUGGGAAACAGGUUAAUAUUCCUGUACUUGGUGUUACUGCGAAGGGGGACGGAGAAGGCUAUGUUAGCCGGGCGACGGUUGUCCCGGUUUAAGCAUGUAGGCUGGUUAUCCAGGCAAAUCCGGAUAAUCAAGGCUGAGGUGUGAUGACGAGGCACUACGGUGCUGAAGUAACAAAUGCCCUGCUUCCAGGAAAAGCCUCUAAGCAUCAGGUAACAUCAAAUCGUACCCCAAACCGACACAGGUGGUCAGGUAGAGAAUACCAAGGCGCUUGAGAGAACUCGGGUGAAGGAACUAGGCAAAAUGGUGCCGUAACUUCGGGAGAAGGCACGCUGGUGUGUAGGUGAAGUCCCUGCGGAUGGAGCUGAGACCAGUCGAAGAUACCAGCUGGCUGCAACUGUUUAUUAAAAACACAGCACUGUGCAAACACGAAAGUGGACGUAUACGGUGUGACGCCUGCCCGGUGCCGGAAGGUUAAUUGAUGGGGUUAUCCGUAAGGAGAAGCUCUUGAUCGAAGCCCCGGUAAACGGCGGCCGUAACUAUAACGGUCCUAAGGUAGCGAAAUUCCUUGUCGGGUAAGUUCCGACCUGCACGAAUGGCGUAAUGAUGGCCAGGCUGUCUCCACCCGAGACUCAGUGAAAUUGAACUCGCUGUGAAGAUGCAGUGUACCCGCGGCAAGACGGAAAGACCCCGUGAACCUUUACUAUAGCUUGACACUGAACAUUGAGCCUUGAUGUGUAGGAUAGGUGGGAGGCUUUGAAGCGUGGACGCCAGUCUGCGUGGAGCCAACCUUGAAAUACCACCCUUUAAUGUUUGAUGUUCUAACGUUGGCCCCUAAUCGGGGUUGCGGACAGUGUCUGGUGGGUAGUUUGACUGGGGCGGUCUCCUCCCAAAGCGUAACGGAGGAGCACGAAGGUUAGCUAAUCCUGGUCGGACAUCAGGAGGUUAGUGCAAUGGCAUAAGCUAGCUUGACUGCGAGCGUGACGGCGCGAGCAGGUGCGAAAGCAGGUCAUAGUGAUCCGGUGGUUCUGAAUGGAAGGGCCAUCGCUCAACGGAUAAAAGGUACUCCGGGGAUAACAGGCUGAUACCGCCCAAGAGUUCAUAUCGACGGCGGUGUUUGGCACCUCGAUGUCGGCUCAUCACAUCCUGGGGCUGAAGUAGGUCCCAAGGGUAUGGCUGUUCGCCAUUUAAAGUGGUACGCGAGCUGGGUUUAGAACGUCGUGAGACAGUUCGGUCCCUAUCUGCCGUGGGCGCUGGAGAAUUGAGGGGGGCUGCUCCUAGUACGAGAGGACCGGAGUGGACGCAUCACUGGUGUUCGGGUUGUCAUGCCAAUGGCACUGCCCGGUAGCUAAAUGCGGAAGAGAUAAGUGCUGAAAGCAUCUAAGCACGAAACUUGCCCCGAGAUGAGUUCUCCCUGAGACUUUAAGUCUCCUGAAGGAACGUUAAAGACGAUGACGUUGAUAGGCCGGGUGUGUAAGCGCAGCGAUGCGUUGAGCUAACCGGUACUAAUGAACCGUGAGGCUUAACCUUACAACGCCGAAG
rnacentral:rRNA from 1 species